GACGAACGCUGGCGGCGUGCUUAACACAUGCAAGUCGAACGGAAAGGCCCUGCUUGUGUUGGGUGCGCGAGUGGCGAACGGGUGAGUAACACGUGAGUAACCUGCCCUUGACUUUGGGAUAACGUCAAGAAACUCGGGCUCAGACCGGAUAGGAGCUCCUGCUGCAUGGGGGGGGUUGGAAAGUGUCGGGUGGUUUGGAUUGACGCGCGGCUUAUCAGCUUGUUGGUGGGGGAGUGGCUUACCAAGGGUUUGAUGGGGAGCCGGGCUGAGGGGGUGACCGGGCAACAUUGGGACGGGGUACGGCCCAGGCUCCUACGGGAGGGAACAGUGGGGAAUAUUGCACAAAGGGGCGGAGCCUGAUGCAGGAACGCCGCGGGCGGGAAGACGGCCUUCGGGUUGUAAAACGGUUUCAGCAGGGGAGAAGCUUGGGGUGACGGUACCGGCAGAAGAAGCACCGGCUAACUACGUG
rnacentral:rRNA from 1 species